UACGUAGGGUGCAAGCGUUAAUCGGAAUUACUGGGCGUAAAGCGUGCGCAGGCGGUUAUGCAAGACAGAUGUGAAAUCCCCGGGCUCAACCUGGGAACUGCAUUUGUGACUGCAUGGCUAGAGUACGGUAGAGGGGGAUGGAAUUCCGCGUGUAGCAGUGAAAUGCGUAGAUAUGCGGAGGAACACCGAUGGCGAAGGCAGCCCCCCUGGGCUAACACUGACGCUCAGGCACGAAAGCGUGGGGAGCAAACAGG
rnacentral:rRNA from 1 species